GAUGAACGCUGGCGGCGUGCCUAAUACAUGCAAGUCGAGCGAACGGACGAGAAGCUUGCUUCUCUGAUGUUAGCGGCGGACGGGUGAGUAACACGUGGAUAACCUACCUAUAAGACUGGGAUAACUUCGAGAAACCGGAGCUAAUACCGGAUAAUAUUUUGAACCGCAUGGUUCAAAAGUGAAAGACGGUCUUGCUGUCACUUAUAGAUGGAUCCGCGCUGCAUUAGCUAGUUGGUAAGGUAACGGCUUACCAAGGCAACGAUGCAUAGCCGACCUGAGAGGGUGAUCGGCCACACUGGAACUGAGCCACGGUCCAGACUCCUACGGGAGGCAGCAGUAGGGAAUCUUCCGCAAUGGGCGAAAGCCUGACGGAGCAACGCCGCGUGAGUGAUGAAGGUCUUCGGAUCGUAAAACUCUGUUAUUAGGGAAGAACAUAUGUGUAAGUAACUGUGCACAUCUUGACGGUACCUAAUCAGAAAGCCACGGCUAACUACGUG
rnacentral:rRNA from 1 species